rnacentral:sRNA from 1 species
ACUAUAACAAUGUGAUAACAUUUUUGAAUUACUAGUUGGUAUUAAUAUCCAGAAAUCAUAUAUACAUAUAUUUCAUCAAGCGUUUUUUGUAACAAAGGUGUCCCUUUAAUAUUUUGAACCUCAAACUGUUUUUUUAGUUUAGGAAUAAUGAAUUGUCUUACAAAUUUUUCAUAAUCAGAUGGAUGACAUUUAUACUUUAGUUCUGUGAAUAAAUUGUCGAAAUAGUACAUUUUGUAUCCUUUGUAAUAACUCUGCAAAAUAUCUGAGACAAUCAUUGUAGAUAUUUUAUUUGCUUCUUCUGAUGUGAUAUUAGGACCAAAAAUAUUAUGUGAUAACGUUAUUAAAUCACAAUUUUGUGUGUAACGAUAAGUAACAUACUUAGCAAAAAUUUCGUCGGGAAAUUUUGUACAGUUAGUACUAGGAUCUACAUUUUCUAUUAGAUAGAUAAUACAAUCAGAUCCUAUAUACAUUCCAUGAACAGGAUACGAUAAACACUUGAUUUUAGUGUAAUCUCCAUCAAAUGGAACAAUGAUAAUUUUAUAUAAUUCCAAUGUGAAAUUUUUGAUUGAGGGUAAAUGAAUUUUGUUGCUAUAAUUAUCAGUUAAUGAUUGUUGUUCAUCAGGUCUUUUAAAACUCCACAACAUAUACAUCAUUUGAUUUACUGCAUUAUAAUAAUUACUGAAUAUUUCGCUCCUAAGAACAAAUUCAAUGAAAUCAGAAUUCCUUUUAACAGAAAAUAGAGCGUAUUUAUAUACAUCUGUACUAUUACAAGGAUUUUGCAUCUUUUACCAAAAUAACGGGUAAAUUGAUGUAUAUUUAAUAGUUGACAACGCAUUCCAUAUACAAUUCUAAAUGUCAAUUUUUUUAAAAUAAAAAUCUAUUUAGGAAAAAAGUUUUUUCUAAGUA